AUUGAACGCUGGCGGCAGGCCUAACACAUGCAAGUCGAGCGGCAGCGGGAAAGUAGCUUGCUACUUUUGCCGGCGAGCGGCGGACGGGUGAGUAAUGCCUGGGGACCUGCCCAGUCGAGGGGGAUAACUACUGGAAACGGUAGCUAAUACCGCAUACGCCCUACGGGGGAAAGCAGGGGACCUUCGGGCCUUGCGCGAUUGGAUGAACCCAGGUGGGAUUAGCUAGUUGGUGAGGUAACGGCUCACCAAGGCGACGAUCCCUAGCUGGUCUGAGAGGAUGAUCAGCCACACUGGAACUGAGACACGGUCCAGACGCCUACGGGAGGCAGCAGUGGGGAAUAUUGCACAAUGGGGGAAACCCUGAUGCAGCCAUGCCGCGUGUGUGAAGAAGGCCUUCGGGUUGUAAAGCACUUUCAGCGAGGAGGAAAGGUUGGUAGCUAAUAACUGCCAGCUGUGACGUUACUCGCAGAAGAAGCACCGGCUAACUCCGUGCCAGCCGCCGCAGUAAAAC
rnacentral:rRNA from 1 species